CACAUAUAUGACAUUUAACACGCUGAACACGACUCAAUUUAACCGCCUACUCUUGCUCUCUGAAUCUGAUUAAUCAGCUAUUAAGCUCUUAGUCACCUGUUCCCGUUCUUAUCAUUAGUCAUUUUUCAAAAAUAUUUUCACUGCGAUGGAACAAGAUUACUGGAACACUGUAUGUGGAAAGGUUUACUGGUGUAUGGUUCAAUUAGUGAAUCACAUUCACUUUAAGAUUAAUUAGCAUAAUUGCAUUUUUGUCUGCAGGAAGACAGAAAUGUUGAUAUGUGGGAAACAGAGCUGUAGAUGUCUCAAAUUAGUCACACGCAUGUGAUGACCAAGCAGAAAGAGCUUAAUCUUUCUUCCAAGAAAAUGUCUGUGAAUGACUUGAGAAUGGAGUCGCAUUACUGUAGGUGUGUAGUACAGCUCCUACCUCAUCCCCUGGAACAAAAUGGGUAACCUCAGAUCCACAGUCCACCACUACACCAGACACAUCACGGCCCAGAAUCAGAGGGAACUCACUAUCAUUGUCCAUCACAGACAUUGGAUCUCUUCUUAAUUUCAGCAAUUUAGCCCCAUAACCACCUGAAAACGGAGAACGUGAGCAGAGUUGCUUCACUUUAAGCCGGUUACCAUCCAAACUACAAGUGAGUUUAGCUGCUGCUGCUGCCCUGCUGUUGACCAUUAUUGAUCACUGUUGGCAGGAUGGCUGCUGCAAGACCUACAUGGCUUCCCAUCAGGAGAUCUCAUGAGGCAAAAAAAAGACCGAAAGGGAGAGAGGUGAGAAAAGAACGAGAGCAGGGGGUCUGUGGCUGUGUGAUCAUGAUUCAGCAUGAAACCAGGCAACAAACAGUGCUGUCAUUAUGAUCACAGCUCCCAGGGGAAAGAGGACACACUGCAAAUUGGGUGCUUUGUCUAUGCUGGCUCAUUACAGUGGGUCUCUCUAAUGAAUUAUACCCAUGGCUGCUGCUCAAAAAAAAAAAAAAAUUCAGUUCUAUGUUACUGAGAGUAGAGGGUGACAUCUUUAAGGCAACUCCCUGACAAAAAUAACCACUACUGAAAUGUCCUUGUUGAUCAGCUACCCAAGACAAGACUGGGUAAGACUAUGAGAGCAGAAUCUGUCUUAAAUAGUUUAUUUCAGGAGGGUCAUUCUUUCCCAGAAACACCAUGUGUAGCUUUUCUAGGCCUCCCUUCCAUCUUGGGACCUGUGCCCCAAAUCACAUGGUUGCUCUAAAAAAAAUACAGCUAUGAUCUAAUUUAAUUUAAUGGUCUUGUGGCGAGGGCUGUCAAUAUCUGACUAAGGAGACUUUCACCCUCCCUCAGGUCACCUAUCUCUCCUAUCUAUAUAAAAUAUCUCAUAGCAAAGUGAUAGUUCUUUAUUAUGUGCAUUUUUCUCACCUGUUGUUCCACGCAUUCAUUUUCUGAUUUUUUUUUUCUUUCACCAAUCAUCCUUCUCCUUUUAAGUUCUUCCCAGAGUCAAACAAACCAAUUAGCAGACAAAUCUCCAGAUACUUGGCACACUACAGCUAAACAGCGAGCCUGUGGUGAGGUUGGUCAUGAAAGGCCACUCACUGCUUGGAUAAUGAUCACACAAGACUUGUGUAUUAUAUACAGCUUCUACUAAGCCACGACAAAAUGAAUGAAAGAAGGACUGUGCACCACAACCUCUCACCAGCUGGGCUCUGAGAUAAUAUUUUUAGAAUCAACGAUUGGUUUCUCUCCUUGGUAACUGCCCCAUUUUUUCCUGACUAGGUCAGACACAAGUACAGUGGAGACUGACUGUGAUGUAAAGAAAUCUAAAGGAAACCCAAAGGUUUCUUUAUGCUUCUCUAUAUGUCAUCCCUGUUGGUUUUACAUGGAUCUAAACGGUGUCAAAUUAACUGGCUUUUCAUUUUCUGCCUGUGAGAUAAGUGUGUGUUGUUGUUGUGUGUUAGCAGAAGAAUAUGUGUUUUAAUGCGCUAGACCUACAGGUCACACAAGGGAUUCACAAAAAUAAUAUUAGAUUUGUUCACUGUAGUGGCCAUAUUAUGUGCAAGUGUAACUGGAUUUCCUUGUUGGUGUAUUCCUCCGAGGCACAUCAGUGAACAUGCAUUCACAGUAGGGGUUAGACAACAUACAGGAUCAACACACCUGGAGAAUGCAGACUAUUCAGAACAUGGAUGUAUAUACUACUGUAAGUUUAUAAGAGUUUGUAAGCUUAUAGGAUUUAUUUUAUAAUAUAAAUUUAUAACCUUAUAUUUUAAAAUGUACUCUCAGACAAAACUAGGUCCAUGUAAAAUGCUUUUAUCUACCAAUACAUGAAGCUAAAGUGCCCACCCACCUGACUGACAGGGUUUGAAGGUACGGGAAGGGAAAGUCUCGUGCAAAUACAAGAAUGAGCUUUUGCACAAAAGAAUAUGCACACUACUUACUCACAUUUUAAGACAUGCAAAUUAAACCUGUUGUGCUUAUAUACAUGAUUUUUUAAAAACAUAUUAGAACAAACAUAAUGCAACAUGUAUGCUAUGUUGGCAUAUUUAUAAUACUCAUAUACUUUUUAUGAGACAAAGACAAAUGAUGGUGAUGUAAAUGAAAGAAUGGUAGAAAUGAAGGAAUGAUUCACAUACAUCUUACAAUAACAGCACAACUACAAGAUGCAUAUCAACAUGCAUGGAUUGAUGUUCACCAAUAUGGUACCCUAAAAAGUGCAGUAUUAAAUAAAUAAAAAAAGAUAUUAUGAAAUAUAUAACAAUAUAAAUAUAAUGCAAAAAAAAUAUAUUAAAAGAACAAUAAAUUGGGAAAUAAUUUAAGAAAUCACUAGAUUAUUACACAGCAUCAAAGUGAAGAGCCAGCAUUAGCAUUGUUGGCUAGCUCUUAUUGGCUUGAGCAAUCACAGAGGAAAUCUGUCUGUCUUUUUGCUCUUCACAGAGUUGUGAGUGUUUCUCCCAGUAACAUCUUAAGAAUAAAAAUACUGUCAAGGCAAAACUGAGUUAACCAGCUAGCUGAUGCCAUUAAUACUGCAUGGCUCUUCACUUUGAUGCUGAGUGAUAAUAUAAACUCACAAUCCAGCUAGUUAGGUGAGAGUAAAGGUGAGGAUAAAGGAGAGUUUAGUUACUAGUUAUUUAGCUAACUGGCUAAAUUUGUUACUGGUUGUUGAGCUUACUUCCUUAAUAGAAGCAUGAGGCAUGAUAAGCUUUUUGAAAAAUGAACUCCAAUAAAACUCUGGUAGGCUAUUAUGAAAAUAAGAAUGUAAAUAUAAAUAAAUAAAUAUUAUUAUUAUUGGUUCAUUUAUAUAUUUUACACCUUUUGUUCAUGUGAUUAUAUAUUUCAUUAUUACUUAUUGAUUUAAUUAACUUCCAUAUAUUACCAAAAUAAAACCAUGAUGCAACACAUGACUAUGUCCUAUUGUUGUAUUCCUAGGGUGUCUACACGAACACGCACACACACAACCUUGUACUUCUGUCCUUGUGAGGACCGUCAUUGACCUAAUGCAUCCCUAGCCCCUUACCCUAACCUUAACCUAAUUCUAACCUAACCCUUAACCUUCAAACAGCCCUUUGAAGUUGUGAGGACUGGCCAAAAUGUCCUCACUUUCCAAAAAUGUCCUCCCUCCACAGGUAAAAAACAUCUUCCAGUCUUCACUAUCUAGCAAUUACAAGUGUACACACACACACACACACACACACACACACACACACACACACACACUAUGGCCAAUCCACAGCAGUGACACAGGAAACACAAAGUGCUCUGCUGUUCAUCUCACUGAUAGCAUCUUAUCUACAGGUUUCCUCCACACUGCAAGGACAGCAAUGGAAAUAUAAUGCACUGUUCAGUCUCUGCUUAUUCAGGGGAUUAGGAAGAACUAUACUGUAUAUGCUGACAUCAGAGUUAUUGCUAUCAGUUUAAAACUUUGACUUACACACUGUUCCCCAACACACACACACAAUAGACAUUUAUUCUAAAAGAAGAUAUAAACAACUUUAUAAAUUGCAGGAAGAUUGACAGAAAAACAGAUAUGAGUAUGUGCAUAUGUUCCCAAAUAUGUUCUUCAUGUCCUUAUAUGUUAGGACACUAUUAACCACUUUUCUCUAGUUUGUAGUCUCUUUAUUUCUUUUAUUUCACAAGUGUCAAAUUUAGCUGCCAAUAGACACAAACCUUUACCAAGAUGAUGUUUGAAUAGUAGGACAGAAGCUGGAAUAUCAAAUAUGUAUUUACUUAGAAACACAUUCUUGUGACAGUGUUGAUGUAGUUUUCUUAAUGGCUGUAGAUGAACUUACAAGCAUGACUUAAGUGUCUUAAACUCAUUUGAUUUGUCUCUUGUUGAGAAAGUGCAUAAAGUUGCAUUUUUGAUAUGUAAAAUAAAGAAAACCUUCCAAAAAUGCUGUAAAACAGUAGUUUAUAAAAAUGUAAAAGUAUAUAAAAUUGUAUUUAUUGUAUUUCUGUAAGCAUAUGUGAAUGUAUUCUAUCUUACAACUAAGUUAAGUACAGCU